AAAUUUGCACAGGUUGGUGGAGUCUCUCACAAGUGGGGGGGUGUAUGUGCACACUUGUCAUCUUUAUUUCUCCAACUGUGCACAUAUUGUAGACCUGGGAAGUCAUUGAUUCAUUUCGAGUUGGGAUUGCUGUUCUUCAUUGAAUUGAAGUCGGCUUUUGCCUUGCAUUUCCUCAGGUCUAUGUUUUUUCACAACCUCUUGUCAUGUCUAGAAUGUUGAAUCAGGUCCUUUUGUACCUAUAAAGUUAAAUAUACAACUUUCAGCAACGGAUCUCUUGGCUCUCGCAUCGAUGAAGAACGCAGCGAAAUGCGAUAAGUAAUGUGAAUUGCAGAAUUCAGUGAAUCAUCGAAUCUUUGAACGCACCUUGCGCUCCCUGGUAUUCCUAGGAGCAUGCCUGUUUGAGUGUCAUUUAAGUUCUCAACCGCACUUUUUUUGUGUGGCUUGGAUGUGGAGGUUUUCUGCAGGCUUUUUCAUCAUUAUGAAGGUCGGCUCCUCUGAAAUGCAUUAGUGGUAUCUGAGCAGAGAAAAACCCUGGUGUGAUAAUUAUCUAUGCCAGUUAGUAUGCUGCAAUAUAACAGAUUGUACUGCUUCCAAUAAACAAAACUU
rnacentral:rRNA from 1 species